UAUCAAGCGAUCAUGUACCUGGCCUGGAGGGUUAUCGAGGCUCCGCCCUGGAGCCUGGCCUGUAGUUGGGGCCCGUGGGCAAGUGCCUGGUGGCCAGGCCUUUGCCCAUGGGCUCUGGCCAGGCCUAGUCCAAACCGGAGACAUGGGCUCAUUGCCCACCACCCACAGGAGGAAGCAGAAGGGUCCAGUGCAUUGUGGAUCUGAUAGCAGACCAAGGUGGGGGCCUUGGUGGUCUGAUCCUCAGUUACAGAAACUAGCUUUUGGAACAUGGAACGUCACCUCUCUGGCCGGGAAGGAGCAAGAGCUUGCGGAGGAGGUUGAGCGUUACCGGCUAUAUAUAGUCAACCUCACCUUGACACCUAGCGUCGGUUCUGGAACCCAAGUCCUUGAGAGGGGUUGGACUCUCCCUUUUGUUGGAGUUGCCCUGGGUGAGAAGCGGAGGGCAGGGGUGGGCUUGUUAAUACCCUCCAA